GAGACUAGCUGCUCACUUCUUGAUUGUGUUGUAGAGAGUCCAGAUGAAAGCGGUCGGGAUGCUUCCCUAUUAAGUCCUGUCAGACAGACUAGAGGAAGAGAGUGUUUUAUCAUAGAAAAAAGUGACAUCAGCAAACAAAAGCCCCCCACAGCUCAAUCCAGCCACAUUAAUUGCCAAGGAAACUAUGGAGCAAUUUGUUAGCGCCUAAGAGAAAGGAUUAUCCUCGGAGCAGGGUAUAUUUUACAGAUUUGUUGUGCCUUGGCCAUUUUGCUGCAGAGGAGAAGAAGGCAAAGGAAAAAGGUGCGAUAUAUUACGUUACAAGGCUUUUUGCUGUUGAUAGUAACGCUGUUCAUUUGAGAAGGCAAUUUUCAUUGGGACAGUUCCAUCCCGAAAAAGUCUCAGUUUAAUUCUCUUUGAGGCAUUCGAAGAAAAUUGGCACAGGAAGUUGUACACAAGGCUGUGAGAGGAUUUCUCUUUACAAGUUCAUUAGUCUGAAAAAAAAUCAAUUAGAAAUUGAUUUAUUGAUUGCUCAAAAGAAAGCAAAGGAAAGAGAAGGAAGAUAGAAAAGAAAGGAAAUAGAUAACAAAGGUAAAAUAUUGGAUAACAGAACUCAAAAUUAGGAGUUGAUAAAAGAAGCGACAAAGUGGAGCUGGACCUGACAUUACCUAGCAUCUUGUGUCUUGGGGAAAACUCGUCAGGGUUUUUAUAUCUAGUCAAAAGAACAGCUGCUUCAACAAGUGCUCGUCACGCCUUUGAGGAUUAGAUGCUCGUGAUUCAUGCCGCAGAUGACGGACUGCGAGACAUCCACAACGUCGCUCGAAACAUUUGUGAACACAGGGCGGACGGGGAGACGGAAUGCGUUGCCGGACAUCCUUGAUGCACAGCAUGCCGCCGUAGGCACCAGCGACAUAACCUUUGACCUUUCUAAGCUUUCGGGAC